rnacentral:lncRNA from 1 species
UCCCUCCCUCCGCCCCCCGCGGCUCCGGGUUCCCGGACGCUCCGGCCGCGUUCUUUUGUCAUUGUGACGUCACAAAGGGACGGGCCCGGGUGGAACCUUCUCCUCCUCCGUGACGUCAAAAGUCGGGAGGGAGGUUCCAGCGCGGCGGGGCUGCGGGGGAGGAGGGAGCGGCGCGGAGGCGGGGGCUGCAGCGUGGGAGGAGGAAGUGGAGGAGGAGGAGGAUGCGACCGGCCUCGGCCUUCCGCAGCGAAACGCCGCGCUUCCCUCCAGGUCUGCUGAUGCUGUGGCAUUACUGCGGUGGUGGUCGUGUUCUCUCGUCAACGCUUUUGAAAAGCAGGGAAACUUCAUGCAGGGAAGCUUGGCUUUGUAGGAGAACCAUGUUGUGGAUUUGGCCACCUUGUCACUUUUAAGUCGUGUUGGGGGUGUCUCGGCAGGAUGUGGCGGGAUGCCUUUCCGGAUGAUGUUGCACAGCAUCAACUGUUGCUCUUUAUCGAUGCCUUGAAACACCAGAGUGGCACUUCUUCGAUGUGCCAGCUCUAGGCCUAUUGAGUAUUUUAGGGGGUGGGGCAGACGGGGGAAGACUGUCAUUGAUGCGCGUGCUUGAAAGAGCACUGGACUGCAAGUCUAAGGUGUUCUGGGCUUAGUUCUUGAGAAGCGGGAAACUUCAUGCAGGGAAGCUUGGCUUUGUAGGAGAACCAUGUUGUGGAUUUGGCCACCUUGUCACUUUUAAGUCGUGUUGGGGGUGUCUCGGCAGGAUGUGGCGGGAUGCCUUUCCGGAUGAUGUUGCACAGCAUCAACUGUUGCUCUUUAUCGAUGCCUUGAAACACCAGAGUGGCACUUCUUCGAUGUGCCAGCUCUAGGCCUAUUGAGUAUUUUAGGGGGUGGGGCAGACGGGGGAAGACUGUCAUUGAUGCGCGUGCUUGAAAGAGCACUGGACUGCAAGUCUAAGGUGUUCUGGGCUUAGUUCUUAAGCGGAGAACAAGAGGCUGGAAAUCUGGGUCUGUUUACUCUUCUGUAAAAUGGAAAAAGUAAUACGUGCCUUUGCCACUUCACUUUAUCUGAGAUCACGUGCGUGAGAUAAUGUCCGUGGAAGAUGUAAAACAGUAUGUAUGUUCUUUCAAUGUAAGGUGGAAUUAUUACUUGAGCUCGUGGAAGGCAGCACAUUUCCUGCAAGUGGUCUCAAAAGCCUUAGAUUCCUGCCGCGUUGCCGUUUAGUUUAUUGCUUUAGCAAAGCAGAGUUUGGGGGUGGGAUUGUAGAUAGCAGGCUUUGGGAGAAAUGAUUGUUAUAUUUCAUAUUAAAUGACGUCCUUGAGAAACUCAUAAAUUGCACUGUAAUCCUGUCUUAAUUGCUGGGUAUGAUUCCCGCUACAAUACCUUAAAUAACUGAAAACAUUUGCCUUUCAAAGCCCUAAUUCAUCUGGACAAUAAAAACAGUUGCAUGUUUUGCUCUAUGGGUAUUUUAUGCCAUUUCCAUCACUCCACUGGUUGGUUAUUCCUAGGCAGAAUAACAGAUGAUACCCAGGUUGCGAAAGCAU